AUCAGCAGACUCUUCUACACAUCUAAAUAGGGAUAAAACAAUAACUAAAAUCUAUUGUCUCACAUAAAAAUGUCUGGAAAAAGGAAAAGUUAAUAUUUUGUUAAUUCAGAGGCUUAAUGAUGAAGGGGCUCUGGAUUGGUAGUUCUGCAUUAAUCUUAUUUCCUCCUAACAUCAUUUCAGGUUGUCUGCAGCCCUUCCAAACAUUACAAGGUGGAUGUUGGUGUCUUCUAUACAGCCUGCACUCAGUGAAAUUCUCUUCAAAUAAAUUAGGAGAUUCUAUUUUUGGAUAUGAAAUAUCUUUAUCCAGUUCUGGAUGCUGCUUUAUGGCUCGAGUUUUUUUUAGAUUAGUGCAACCAUAUUGUUUCUCUAGUUUUUGAGAUGGAAUUUUUAAUAUCCACCAGAGCUUCAGGCUUUACAUGAUUCGAAGCAGCUCAUUAUAUUCAGAUAAUAAAAGGACUUUGCUUCUCAAA